UCGUCCACACGGAUGGAUGGAUUUUCUUUCGCUGGAAAACGGGAGAUUUUCCUUUCCAUCGACGGUCGAGUGGUUUGUGACUUGGCUACUAGCUUUUCCGAUUUUCCGCUUUCCGCGCGAGUUUUCCUGCAGUUUUCCGGCUGAUAAAGUGAAAAGUUCGACGAAAAUCUGCACUUGGCUUCUGGCACCGAUUUCUGCCAUCGAGGACACCGAAGGACGCUUUCUUCGUUACAAGAAAAAGAACGUUGUUGUUAUUGUGGUGCCAGCGCCAAUGACGAAAAUAAUAAUCAAUGCUCAAGGAUUUGCCCAGGAUUUUCCAAAUGAAAUGCAAUUGAAGUGUUUGAUCAUUGCAGUGCCGCCUUUGUAAUUUUCCCAGUGCCUUAGAGCACGUUAAGGAAAGAUUUGUCGUUAGUUAUCAUCUUGGAAAGUCUUUGCGUUACUUCCAUUCCAUCCGAGGCAUAACGCAGCUCCACAAUUCCCCAAAAGUAUUUUCAAUGUGCACUGAAAAAUAAUUAAUUGUAAAAUAAUCAUUUUGCACUGAAACACGUACAAGUUUUCCUUGCCGGACAUUUUUCGAAGUAGCAGUAAAGUGAUUCAAUAAAAUACCGACUGAUACGUUGUAAUAGUUUGUUUCAAUCAUAAGGUUUGGGGAUGUAAAUUUUUAAUUUGUUUCAUGGGCGAAUAACCGGAACAGUUAGGUUGUGUAAAAUGAUAGUUGAUCGAAUUCGGUUGUGAAUAUUGCUUUUCUGGAAAUUUUCAACCUUCCUUGAGGCAAUCUGAAUCUACGAGCCGGCCCAAAUAUUUUUCGCCAAAACCACCCUGAGUAUAUAACCGCCCAAAGUACAUAACACCCACGUCACACAUACAAACUAAUAAUUUGCUGUGCAGAUGUGUGCGUAACGGCGCCUGCUCCAACAAGUUUUCCAGAGCUCGAAGGCCUUCCACUGAUCAUCACUACCCAACAAGAGGCCGUGUCCUGGACAAUUUUUCACCAAAACGUUGUCAAACGUCACCGGGAAAACAUCUCAUAGGCCCUUUAUGGCGUCGCAGUAGUGCUCUGUAAAAUCAACGUGCUGAUCAGCUUUUUUUGUAGUCAGCCAUCAAAUAAAAACAACAAAGUCUUUGAAUAAAGUGUUGGCCAAGCAUUACA